UAGGGAAUCUUCCACAAUGGGCGCAAGCCUGAUGGAGCAACACCGCGUGAGUGAAGAAGGGUUUCGGCUCGUAAAACUCUGUUGUUGGAGAAGAACGUGCGUAAGAGUAACUGUUUACGCAGUGACGGUAUCCAACCAGAAAGUCACGGCUAACUACGUGCCAGCAGCCGCGGUAAUACGUAGGUGGCAAGCGUUAUCCGGAUUUAUUGGGCGUAAAGCGAGCGCAGGCGGUUGCUUAGGUCUGAUGUGAAAGCCUUCGGCUUAACCGAAGAAGUGCAUCGGAAACCGGGCGACUUGAGUGCAGAAGAGGACAGUGGAACUCCAUGUGUAGCGGUGGAAUGCGUAGAUAUAUGGAAGAACACCAGUGGCGAAGGCGGCUGUCUGGUCUGCAACUGACGCUGAGGCUCGAAAGCAUGGGUAGCGAACAGGAUUAGAUACCCUGGUAGUCCAUGCCGCNNCGAUGAGUGCUAGGUGUUGGAGGGUUUCCGCCCUUCAGUGCCGAAGCUAACGCAUUAAGCACUCCGCCUGGGGAGUACGACCGCAAGGUUG
rnacentral:rRNA from 1 species